AGAUUAAACUAAAGAGUUUGAUCCUGGCUCAGAUUGAACGCUGGCGGCAUGCCUUACACAUGCAAGUCGAACGGCAGCACGGAGCUUGCUCUGGUGGCGAGUGGCGAACGGGUGAGUAAAAUAUCGGAACGUACCCAGGAGUGGGGGAUAACGUAGCGAAAGUUACGCUAAUACCGCAUACGUCCCAAGGGAGAAAGUGGGGGAUCGCAAGACCUCAUGCUCAUGGAGCGGCCGAUAUCUGAUUAGCUAGUUGGUGGGGUAAAGGCCUACCAAGGCAUCGAUCAGUAGCUGGUCUGAGAGGACGACCAGCCACACUGGAACUGAGACACGGUCCAGACUCCUACGGGAGGCAGCAGUGGGGAAUUUUGGACAAUGGGCGCAAGCCUGAUCCAGCAAUGCCGCGUGAGUGAAGAAGGCCUUCGGGUUGUAAAGCUCUUUUGUCAGGGAAGAAAAGGCUGUGGCUAAUAUCUGCGGCUCAUGACGGUACCUGAAGAAUAAGCACCGGCUAACUACGUGCCAGCAGCCGCGGUAAUACGUAGGGUGCAAGCGUUAAUCGGAAUUACUGGGCGUAAAGCGUGCGCAGGCGGUUUUGUAAGACUGUCGUGAAAUCCCCGGGCUCAACCUGGGAAUGGCGAUGGUGACUGCAAGGCUAGAGUUUGGCAGAGGGGGGUAGAAUUCCACGUGUAGCAGUGAAAUGCGUAGAUAUGUGGAGGAACACCGAUGGCGAAGGCAGCCCCCUGGGUCAAAACUGACGCUCAUGCACGAAAGCGUGGGGAGCAAACAGGAUUAGAUACCCUGGUAGUCCACGCCCUAAACGAUGUCUACUAGUUGUCGGGUCUUAAUUGACUUGGUAACGCAGCUAACGCGUGAAGUAGACCGCCUGGGGAGUACGGUCGCAAGAUUAAAACUCAAAGGAAUUGACGGGGACCCGCACAAGCGGUGGAUGAUGUGGAUUAAUUCGAUGCAACGCGAAAAACCUUACCUACCCUUGACAUGGAUGGAACCUCUGAGAGAUUGGAGGGUGCCCGAAAGGGA
rnacentral:rRNA from 1 species